GGGGCCCCCGAGGCCGCUGCCAGCGCUGGCACUGCGGGGCCGGCUCACCAGUUGGUCAUGUCCAGGAAGAAGGCGCAACCGGCAGGAUUGAGCUGGAAGCCGAGCAGCCUCUGGAACUCGGAGAUGAGCACGUCCUUGUCGGUGGUGCCCAGGCAGCUGAACUUCUGCAUCAGCUCCGGGUCCAGGUGAGGAAACUGAAGUCCCGGGAGAGACAGUGGCAAGGUCAAGUAGCAAAGUGCACUCAGCCCUCCCAGCAAGGAGUCUGCCACUCGCGCUUGAAGGACGUGUUUGAAGAGCUGCUUUCCCAGUGGGAUGCUGCCUUAAAGUCUUGAUUCCCUGGCACUCUUUCCUAUUACUACAUUUUAUCGGUGCUGUUUGUGUUAUGCAACGGUAGCAUCGUGUCUCCGGAAGAUAAAAAAGGUCUCGAUACAAACAUCCAUAACCUUCCACCCACUCCGUCAGGAACAACCCAAUCAAAAUAAAGUCAUGAGAAUUUA
rnacentral:lncRNA from 1 species